rnacentral:lncRNA from 1 species
GUUUUUGUGUUUUGGUCUAUUUUCUUAAACUAUAAGCAAUAGGUCAACUAUAUUUGUUGUAUGGAAGCAAUGUUAGCUGUACAUGUCUGCCUGGCAUAUGGUUCAACUGACCUUGACCUCAUUUUCAUGAUUCAUGUUAAGUCUAUGUGACAUGCAGUCGUAAUAAAGCUUUAGAUUUAGGAGUUUCAACAUAAUAUCAAUGAUUAGUAAAGAAGGCGAGACAUUUCUGUGUGUGCACUCUUGUUAUGAUUGGUCUUAAUUUGUCCAAAACAGUCUUAACAGACUUGUUUUAACGCUAGAGCCUUCCAUCUUGAUUAACUUGACAUGACUGAACAGACUUGACACAACAGAUCUGAACUAAUUGUAAGAUAUGUGUAACAGAAGCCUUCUUUGUAACAGGUGAAAGCAAUAUAACAAUGUAUCUGUAUUUCAGGGUAAGACUCCUUACGAUCUAGCAGCAGAAGGGAAGAGGAGACAGUAUGAAGAAGUGAUGAUAUACUUACAGGUACUUAUAGUGAUAGAUAUGAUGGUGUUGAAUUACAAAUGCUUACACUUAGAAUGAAUCAAUUAGAAUAUAAGUUACAAAAGAUAAAAAAAAUAUUAAACUCAGAAAUCAAAUGCCACAAAACCAAGAUACUUCAGGAGAGAAAUCUUAAAAAAAUAGUUUUGAACAAACAAUUUAAAAUUCUAAUGCAAUUUAUUUGUUAUCACCCUUUAGAUUGGACAUCAUAUAUUUGAGGC